UGGGGAAUAUUGCACAAUGGGCGCAAGCCUGAUGCAGCCAUGCCGCGUGUGUGAAGAAGGCCUUCGGGUUGUAAAGCACUUUCAGCGAGGAGGAAGGUGGUGAACUUAAUACGUUCAUCAAUUGACGUUACUCGCAGAAGAAGCACCGGCUAACUCCGUGCCAGCAGCCGCGGUAAUACGGAGGGUGCAAGCGUUAAUCGGAAUUACUGGGCGUAAAGCGCACGCAGGCGGUUUGUUAAGUCAGAUGUGAAAUCCCCGGGCUCAACCUGGGAACUGCAUUUGAAACUGGCAAGCUAGAGUCUCGUAGAGGGGGGUAGAAUUCCAGGUGUAGCGGUGAAAUGCGUAGAGAUCUGGAGGAAUACCGGUGGCGAAGGCGGCCCCCUAGACGAAGACUGACGCUCAGGUGCGAAAAGCGUGGGGAGCAAAACAGGAUUAGAUAACCCUGGUAGUCCACGCUGUAAAACGAUGUCGAUUUUGGAGGUUGUGCCCUUGAGGCGUGGCUUCCGGAGCUAACGCGUUAAAUCGACCGCCUGGGGAGUACGGCCGCAAGGUUAAAACUCAAAUGAAUUGACGGGGUCAUAGCUG
rnacentral:rRNA from 1 species